AUACUUACCUGGACGGGAUCAAUGCGUGAUCAAGAAGGCCCAUGGUCUAGGUUGGUGACCUCCAUUGCACUCAAGAGGGGUGCUUGCCUAAGGUUUACCCAAGUGAUGGAGCCUACGUCAUAAUUUGUGGUAGUGGGGGCCUGCGUUCGUGUGGCACUCAU